rnacentral:lncRNA from 1 species
CUUCAGAGUUGGAAGCAACCUCGGAGACCACGAGACCAACCUCUCACACAGUACAGGUGUCCAUCUGCACCACACCCAGAAGGUGUCAAGGUCAGCUCCUUUAGCUUCCUGCCCAGCAGCCUACUCCACGUGCAGCCUUUGGUGACACAGACGACUUCAAACAUGUCUGAUCACUGAGCUAACUGUCGAAGUGUGAUAUUUAAAGUAACUUCUUAUGAUUGCUAACAGAUUGCAUGGCGACAUGGGUCAUGCACAGUGUGAUCAGCACUGAGCUAACUGCUGCCAAUCCUCCCCUCCCCGCCAAGGAAGACCAGCCCCGAGCCAACAUCCAUGCCCAUCUUCCUCCACUUUACAUGCGGGACACCUACCACAGCAUGGCGUGCCAAGUGGUGCCAUGUCCGCACCCGGGGUCUGAACCAGCGAACCCCAGGCCGCCAGGGCGGAACGUGCGCGCUUAACCCCUGCGUCACCAGGCCGGCCCUGUGGAAAAAUUCUUGAGAAUGGAAUUUUGAAGUCAGGAAGACUGAAUGAAGUCCUUGUGUCUAUCCAUCAAGAAAGUAUAUCCAAAGAAAACGGAGGGUUUUAUGUAUAUGCGGAUGAAGAAAGCUCAAUUUGAAAAAGUUAGGAUACUUUGAAAAUGUGGAUUUGUCAUUCAUAAAAACGUUUUCUUGAAGCGUUCUUGAAGUUCCUUACCAGGUGCCAAAGGAAAGAAGCCUCGCAGGACUGGAGACAGUUUACCUGAAGCCACAUGCACUGGGAAUGCGGAGCACACUGGAAGUGGCUCUCUAGUCAAACGAGGUCCUUCCAUGAAGAGUAGUUGGCAUGUUUUGAAGCAGGUUAUGGAGGAAUUGGCAGCCUUGCCAUUCACUCAGCAAGUCACUCGAUGAAACUACAGACAUCUUUCAAUGUAUCCCCUUCCUUAUUUUGUUCAUGACAACCCUGCUAACAUGAACGAGGAAGAAUUCUUGUUCUGUGGGCGCCUUUGGAAAUGAUAAAGACUGCUGAUGUUUUGGAAAUGGUAUAAAGGUUUCUUUUUUUUGUUUUUUGUUUUUGUCAAACAAACCUGACUGGACGGAAAAGCUUCCUAUCCUUGCACAGGAGUUCUCGCAAUGCGUUCCUGCUUGGUUGCACAUCCAAUGUUGCUCCUUCAGGGAAAAAAGGAGCAGUUCAUAUUGUUUUCACUUGCCGUAGUUAAUGCAGAUGUGUUCUGGCUCUUCCAAAAGUCCUAAGAGAAGUUUUGUUGACAGCCAUAAAAGUCAUCACCUUUCUCAAAGCUGGUUUCUGAAUCAUAAUAGUUUCGCAAGUUCUGUCAGGGAACAAUAGCAGAAAACGAGGCGCUUCUUUACCACAGAGAAGCUCACUGACUUUCAAUGGUAAAGUUUCACUUUUUCUGGGGGGAAAAAAAAAGGAAAUCCAUUCUUGGAACACUUUGAAAGAAAGAAUUUUGUCUGCGGGUUGGUUGGCUUACCUGGCAGAUAUUUUUAACCAUGUGAAUGAGAUGACUCUUCCAAUUCAAAGCCCUGAUAUCACCAUUAUGGAUGCUUCAGGAAACAUUACGCACUUUCUUGGCCAAGCUGCUGAGAGGAGGCUGACAUCUUUACAAACCUUCAAAUGCUGAAGGAAGUGCUUUACCUUCAUGGAGCUGAAUUACAAAAUUCUGUCAUUUUAUUUUAAAAGAGUAAUCUACAAACACCUGGAAACACUUUAGAACUCUUUCAAAAGUUAUUUCUAUCUUGAUGGUAACAAAAUUGAACCCUAGAGUCACGUUCUUUUUCUUUCUGCUAUAAACUUUGUCAAAGGUGUGGACCUGGUAAAGACGAAUUCAUUGAUCUUAGGACCAAAAGACCACUCUAACUAGAGUGUCACUCAAAAGCCUUGGAGAAGGUUGGUGUUCCUUGGGAGACACUUAUCUUUACUUUGUGAAGGAGCUGUGAAAGUUUUAAUUCCAUUUGCAACACUAUAUCUUUGAAGAUUAGAUUUUCAACACUGUUACCAUAAAGAAUAUAAAAAUCAAUUGGAUUUCCAAUAGGACACGUGCAUUAUCUUAUCAAAGACCCUUCUACUGUUUCAUGUUCUUAUUUAGGUUUAGCAAAAGUAGUCUUUGUAUGGAUACGCCU